rnacentral:rRNA from 1 species
GACGAACGCUGGCGGCGUGCUUAACACAUGCAAGUCGAACGGAGUGGCGAACGGGUGAGUAACACGUGGGUGACCUGCCCUGCACUUCGGGAUAAGCCUUGGAAACUGGGUCUGAUAACGGCGAGUGUGGGAUGGGCCCGCGGCCUAUCAGCUUGUUGGUGGGGUAAUGGCAUACCAAUGCGGCGACGGGUAGCCGGCCUGCGAGGGUGGACGGCCACAAUGGGACUGAGACACGGCGCAGACUCCUACGGGAGGCAGCAGGGGGGAAGAUUGCACAAUGGGCGGAAGCCUGAUGCAGCGACGCCGCGUGGGGGAGGACGGCCUUCGGGUUGUAAACUCCUUUCACAAUCGACGCGGUAGCUGGAGAAGAAGCACCGGCUAACUACGUGCCAGCAGCCGCGGUAAUAC